UACGAAGGGGGCUAGCGUUGCUCGGAAUCACUGGGCGUAAAGGGUGCGUAGGCGGGUCUUUAAGUCAGGGGUGAAAUCCUGGAGCUCAACUCCAGAACUGCCUUUGAUACUGAGGAUCUUGAGUUCGGGAGAGGUGAGUGGAACUGCGAGUGUAGAGGUGAAAUUCGUAGAUAUUCGCAAGAACACCAGUGGCGAAGGCGGCUCACUGGAUCGGCAUUGACGCUGAGGUGCGAAAGCGUGGGGAGCAAACAGG
rnacentral:rRNA from 1 species